rnacentral:rRNA from 1 species
AAAUUGAAGAGUUUGAUCAUGGCUCAGAUUGAACGCUGGCGGCAGGCCUAACACAUGCAAGUCGAACGGUAACAGGAAACAGCUUGCUGUUUCGCUGACGAGUGGCGGACGGGUGAGUAAUGUCUGGGAAACUGCCCGAUGGAGGGGGAUAACUACU